AGAUUGAACGCUGGCGGCAUGCCUUACACAUGCAAGUCGAACGGUAGAGUAGCAAUACUUGAGAGUGGCGAACGGGUGAGUAAUAUAUCGGAACGUGCCCAGUCGUGGGGGAUAACGUAGAGAAAUUUACGCUAAUACCGCGUACGAUCUAAGGAUGAAAGCGGGGGACCGUAAGGCCUCGCGCGAUUGGAGCGGCUGAUAUCAGAUUAGCUUGUUGGUGAGGUAAAAGCUCACCAAGGCGACGAUCUGUAGCUGGUUUGAGAGAACGACCAGCCACACUGGGACUGAGACACGGCCCAGACUCCUACGGGAGGCAGCAGUGGGAAUUUGGACAAUGGGGAAACCUGAUCCAGCCAUCCCGCGUGUGCGAUGAAGGCCUUGGGUUGUAAAGCACUUUUGCGAGGGAAGAAACGGCGACGAUUCUAAUAACGAAUGCGUCACUAGACGGUACCUCGCAGAAUAAGACACCGGCUAACUACGUAGCCA
rnacentral:rRNA from 1 species